GACGAACGCUGGCGGCGUGCCUAAUACAUGCAAGUCGAGCGAAGUUUUUCUGGUGCUUGCACUAGAAAAACUUAGCGGCGAACGGGUGAGUAACACGUAAAGAACCUGCCUCAUAGACUGGGACAACUAUUGGAAACGAUAGCUAAUACCGGAUAACAGCAUUAACUGCAUGGUUGAUGUUUAAAAGUUGGUUUUGCUAACACUAUGAGAUGGCUUUGCGGUGCAUUAGCUAGUUGGUGGGGUAAAGGCCUACCAAGGCGACGAUGCAUAGCCGACCUGAGAGGGUGAUUGGCCACACUGGGACUGAGACACGGCCCAGACUCCUACGGGAGGCAGCAGUAGGGAAUCUUCCGCAAUGGGCGAAAGCCUGACGGAGCAACGCCGCGUGAGUGAAGAAGGAUUUCGGUUCGUAAAGCUCUGUUGUUAGGGAAGAAUGAUUGUGUAGUAACGAUACACAGUAGAGACGGUACCUAACCAGAAAGCCACGGCUAACUACGUG
rnacentral:rRNA from 1 species